rnacentral:rRNA from 1 species
CCCGAAACAAAAAGAGCUAGAACUUGUUAAAAUUUACGUUUUAAAGUAAUUUUAAACUUUUUUUAGUAAUGAAAUGUUAGCCGAAUUUUGUAUAUCUGGUUUUUUAAAAAAGAAAUUCAAUUUCACUUUUUCGUUUAUAAAUGAAAAAAGCUAUUUCAGGAGGGUAAGCUUCUUGAAAAUUUUGUACAUAAGACAAACAAUUUUUAUUAACUAUCUUAGGCUUGAAAGUAGCCACAGAUUUAAAAGUGUUCAAACUUAACUUUGUUUAUAAAAAACUAUAUUUGUCUUUGUUUUUUUUAUUAAAAUAUUUUACCAAAUCUUUAAGUUUAAGAAAUAAUGAUGUUAUUAGUAAAUUGUUUUUAUAAAUGAAUUAUUUUAAAUAUACUUUAAAAUUUAAUUUGUUAUAGAUUAAAAUAAGGAACUCGGCAAAUAAUACUUUUGCCUGUUUAUCAAAAACAUGUCUGUUUGAUACAAAAAACAGUCUGGCCUGCCCACUGAUUGGUUUUAAAGGCCGCGGUAUAAUGACCGUGCGAAGGUAGCAUAAUAAUUAGUCUUUUAAUUGAAGACUGGAAUGAAAGGUCGGACAAAAAGUAAUCUGUCUCUAUUUUAAAAAUUGAAUUUAACUUUUAAGUGAAAAGGCUUAAAUAAUCUCGAAGGACGACAAGACCCUAUAAAACUUUAUAAACUAAAGAUAAACUCAUAAUUUAUAUUUUUAACAUAGAUUAUUUUGAAUUUUAUUUCGUUGGGGCGACGAAAGUAUAAUAUUUAACUGCUUUCUUUUUAACACAAUUAUAUUUGUACAAAAUGACCCUUUUUCAAGAUCUAAAGAAAAAGUUACUUUAGGGAUAACAGCGUUAUUUUUUUUAAGAGUCCUUAUCGACAAAAAAGUUUGCGACCUCGAUGUUGAAUUAAAAACCCACUAUGGUGCAGCAAUUAUAGAGGGAGGUCUGUUCGACCUUUAAAUUUUUACAUGAUUUGAGUUCAAACCGGUGUAAGCCAGGUUGGUUUCUAUCCUUGAGAAAAGACUUAACUAUUAUAGUACGAAAGGAUU